UUUAUUCCAGAAAAAUACAAGGCUGGCUUCCUAUCUGCUACUCACUAUCUUCCACCUCCUCAUCAUGUGGACAAACCCUAGCAGUGCCUCAUAAUCAAGCGUGUUUGUGCAUGCACAAAGCCACCUUAGUGUUCAAAGGCAUGAACACACUUCAUGAACACCACCAAUACUACAGAAGACUGAAUUGGUUUGGAACCAGAGUCAGCCUCCAUUCUGUUAUUCUUUGCUACAUGGAUAAAUGUAUCCACCUCAGAGAGACAGGAAGAACUGUUUGGCUGCUGGAAGCACAAGAUAGAAACUUCAGAUAUGCAUCACCGAUGUUCAGGUCUGCCACAGGCUUCCUCAUGAGCUUUGGAUUAUUUGCUUUUUUCCUAUUCAAUCAAGUUCUCCUACCAUUACAUAUACUGUCCUAUGAUUCUCCUCACCCUCCAGCGGGACUACCCAUGGACCAGUGUAUGAACAAUAAAAUUGGGAACAGUACAAAGAAAUGA
rnacentral:lncRNA from 1 species